GCUUGAGCGGCGGACGGGUGAGUAAUGUAUGGGGACUGCCCGAUAGAGGGGGAUAACUACUGGAAACGGUGGCUAAUACCGCAUACUAUCGGAUAACCCAUAUGGGAUUAGCUAGUAGGUGGGGUAAAGGCUAACCUAGGCGACGAUCUCUAGCUGGUCUGAGAGGAUGAUAAGAACAAAUGGGAUGGAGACACGGCUCAGAAUCCUACGGAGGCAGCAGUGGGGAAUAUGGCAAAAUGGGCGAAAGCCUGAUGCAGCCAGGCCGAGUGUAUGAAGAAGGCCUUAGGGGUGUAAAGUACUUUCAGCGGGGAGGAGUUAAUAGCAGAAGAAGCACCGGAUAACUCCGUGCCAGCAGCCGCGGUAAUAC
rnacentral:rRNA from 1 species